rnacentral:rRNA from 1 species
AUUGAACGCUGGCGGCAGGCCUAACACAUGCAAGUCGAACGGAGCGGCGGACGGGUGAGUAAUGCAUAGGAAUCUGCCUGGUAGUGGGGGAUAACGUCCCGAAAGGGGAGCUAAUACCGCAUACUAUCAGAUGAGCCUAGGUCGGAUUAGCUAGUUGGUGGGGUAACGGCCUACCAAGGCGACGAUCCGUACCUGGUCUGAGAGGAUAACCAACCAACUGGGGACUGAGACACUGUCCAGACUCCUACAGGAGGCAGCAGUGGGGAAUAUUGGACAAUGGGGGAAAGCCUGAUCCAGCCAUGCCGCGUGUGUGAAGAAGGGCUUCGGUUUGUAAAGCACUUUUAGUUGGGAAGCGUUACCGACAGAAUAAGCACCGGCUAACUUCGUGCCAGCCGCCGCGGUAAUAC